rnacentral:ncRNA from 1 species
CCUGAGGGGCGCUGCAGCGGGCGAUGCCCGCCAGGCUCGGAGAAACCAGCAUCUCAAAACAACUGCGCUCGACC